GGGUGUGCGGAAGUGGCCACGGAAGAUCAAUUAAUAGAAGCUGUUGAAACUAGCCACCAACGUGAGGAGGAGGAGGUUCUGAAGACUGAGUUGGAACAAGAAGUUGCAGAUGCUCUGUGCUGAGCCAUUGUCCAUACAAGUUGAUCCACAUUCCUAGAAGUGCCUAGUAACCACCAUCAUGUCUAAACGAAAC